CUCCAAGAGGCAAAGCCUCCAUCAUUACCAUAUCGAACGAUACGCUUUGCUUUGGCUGCUGGCCCUGACUCCACACCUACCUCUCACCCCGCGGCUGAUUCACAUCACUGUCCCCACAUCCCUGCUGAGCUUCCUGUAGGAAAGGACACAGAGAUCCCAAUGAGCAGUGAUCUAGCCCAAGAACAAGCUUGCCAUUUCAGAAAAGCAGGACAAAGGAGAAACCUUCAGUACUAUGCUUGGGGUCACAUCUCUGACCAGGUAGCCCUGGAGAUACUGCAGGAGAAAUGUGCCAGUAGUUUGUAACAGUCUGAAAAUCCACCUCCACCUCACCUCCAGCCGCCGCUGUUU